rnacentral:misc_RNA from 1 species
GAAAUGCGAUAAGUAGUGUGAAUUGCAGAAUUCAGUGAAUCAUCGAAUCUUUGAACGCACAUUGCGCCCCUCGGUAUUCCGUGGGGCAUGCCUGUUCGAGCGUCAUCUACACCCUCAAGCUCUGCUUGGUGUUGGGCGUCUGUCCCGCCUCCGCGCGCGGACUCGCCCCGAAUGCAUUGGCAGCGGUUCCUUGCCCCCCUCUUUGCGCAGCACAUUGCCAUUCGAGGCGGCGGCGGCCCGCGUCCAACAAGCUCAACCCCCCCGUCUUUGACCUCGGAUCAGGUAGGGAUACCCGCUGAACUUAGGC